GAUGAACGCUAGCGGCAGGCUUAACACAUGCAAGUCGAGGGGCAGCGGGGUGUAGCAAUACAUCGCCGGCGACCGGCGCACGGGUGCGUAACACGUAUGGAAUCUGCCCUUUACUGGGGGAUAGCCCGGAGAAAUCCGGAUUAAUACCCCGUAACAAGCGAGGUGGCAUCAUCUUGCUUUGAAAGCUCCGGCGGUAAAGGAUGACCAUGCGCCCGAUUAGCUAGUUGGUGAGGUAAUGGCUCACCAAGGCUACGAUCGGUAGGGGGCCUGAGAGGGUUAUCCCCCACACUGGUACUGAGACACGGACCAGACUCCUACGGGAGGCAGCAGUGAGGAAUAUUGCGCAAUGGAGGCAACUCUGACGCAGCCAUGCCGCGUGCAGGAAGAAGGCGCUACGCGUUGUAAACUGCUUUUAUCCGGGAAGAAACCCCAGGACGUGUCCUGGGUUGACGGUACCGGAGGAAUAAGCACCGGCUAACUUCGUGCCAGCAGCCGCGG
rnacentral:rRNA from 1 species